rnacentral:lncRNA from 1 species
ACUAUCCAUAGCCAGGUCCUCUGGGUCAAUAGAAUCGCUCCUCAGCUUAGUCCGGUCACCCAAAUCAGCAAGGUGCCACUUCCAGUGCUACUAGCGGGCAACACCCAAAUUGUCUCUAUGCUCUUUAGACUCGACAAGAUCAGUUACUAGUAUGUUAUAGAUCUUUCAUGUGCAUGUUUACGCUUUGCUAGAUCCAGGAGCUUCCUUGUCUUUUGUUACUCCUUGUAUAGCAAUUGAUUUCGGAAUCAAUCUUGAAUUUUAGCAGAGCCCUUCUUAGUAUUU